AAUAAAUUUGUUACCAUUUUCACAACUAAAAUACAUUUUUUUUUUCAAUUUAUGUUUAAACUUAUUCAUACCAAUAACUCAUUUUCAUUUUUGCUCAUAUCUUAAGUUUUAUUUAAUGUUUUUCAUUCAUAGAACCCAUGAUCAUAUUUCAAAUAUAUUAACAUUUUUAAUUAUUUUUAAAUCCUUUACAUUGUAAUCCUUGCUAUAUGGUCUCAUUUAUUUGGAGAAAAUAUUUUUUUAUUUGAUCUCAUGUUUGUGGAAUGCUUGUUUAAUGGUAUAUACUUUGAAAUUUUUAUAGAAAUUUGAAUGCAUGUCCAGUGGGUUUUUUUGUACGAUCAAUGUCUAAUUCAAUUAAUUAAUUAAAAUAUUUAUCAG
rnacentral:sRNA from 1 species